AGAGUUUGAUCCUGGCUCAGAGCGAACGCUGGCGGCAGGCUUAACACAUGCAAGUCGAGCGGGCGUAGCAAUACGUCAGCGGCAGACGGGUGAGUAACGCGUGGGAACGUACCUUUUGGUUCGGAACAACACAGGGAAACUUGUGCUAAUACCGGAUAAGCCCUUACGGGGAAAGAUUUAUCGCCGAAAGAUCGGCCCGCGUCUGAUUAGCUAGUUGGUGAGGUAACGGCUCACCAAGGCGACGAUCAGUAGCUGGUCUGAGAGGAUGAUCAGCCACAUUGGGACUGAGACACGGCCCAAACUCCUACGGGAGGCAGCAGUGGGGAAUAUUGGACAAUGGGCGCAAGCCUGACCCAGCCAUGCCGCGUGAGUGAUGAAGGCCCUAGGGUUGUAAAGCUCUUUUGUGCGGGAAGAUAAUGACGGUACCGCAAGAAUAAGCCCCGGCUAACUUCGUGCCAGCAGCCGCGGUAAUACGAAGGGGGCUAGCGUUGCUCGGAAUCACUGGGCGUAAAGGGUGCGUAGGCGGGUCUUUAAGUCAGGGGUGAAAUCCUGGAGCUCAACUCCAGAACUGCCCUUGAUACUGAGGAUCUUGAGUUCGGGAGAGGUGAGUGGAACUGCGAGUGUAGAGGUGAAAUUCGUAGAUAUUCGCAAGAACACCAGUGGCGAAGGCGGCUCACUGGCCCGAUACUGACGCUGAGGCACGAAAGCGUGGGGAGCAAACAGGAUUAGAUACCCUGGUAGUCC
rnacentral:rRNA from 1 species